GCGCCCCGCCUCAGCCCCCAGAGCAUCGCGGAAUAAAUCCGGUAGGAGUAGAGCUCCAAGAUCAUCGAAUACAGCCUGUGUCCCAACGCCACUGUGUCAACCUGGCCGUGGCACUCAGUGUCUCUCCUUAAACACAGCCAGGGACGGUGAUUCCUGGUUCAUUCGAUGUAUAAUCGCCCUUCCUGAUAAGAUUUUUUUUCCUGAUGUACAACAUAAACCUCCCCUGGUGCAGCUUGUCCUGCCUGGGAGAAAGAAGCCAAGCCACACCUGGCUGCAGCCUCCUUUCAUGGAGUUGUACAAAGCAAUAAGGUCCUGCCUGAGCCUCUUUCUUUUCCAGCCUGAGUCCUCUGUGUUCCCUCAGCCAUUUUUCAUAGGAUUUGUGCUCCAGGCCCUUCAUCAUCUUCGUUGGCGUUCUCUGGAGCUGCUGCAGUUCCUCAAUGCCCUUCCUGAAUUGAGGGGCCCAGAACUGGCCCAGCCCGAUGUCUGCUACCUUUCUCAUGCCCUGCCUCAGCCCGUCUUGGGCCUUCCCUUUUCAAGGGCUGUCAAAGUAAUGUCUGUGAGAGGCUCUGAGGACCUGCUCAAUCAUGUGACAUCUCUCCACUAGAAUGACACUGAAUAUAGGAGGAGGGGAGGCAGGAAAAGUACACACAUGGAAAUACUGAAGUUGGUUCUGUCUCUGUGUAUGAAGAUGCUGUGUAAGUGUUGCAAAGCACCACAGAUGACAAUCCCACCACAGAGCAUCCUUCUGAAUGCUGUGUCCUGAAAGAAGCACUGCAGCUGGCAAACUUCCAGGUCAAGGCUUUGUCUAAAGUUACAGUAAAAUGUUAUCCCCUGAGAGCUGUAAAGAAACACUAUGGUGUACACAUAGGAGUUGGCAUCAGUGGCUAGGAAGGAAUGGAAGCAGCCUUGGCCAGUGACUGACAGCCCAGUUCAAAUAUCUCCAGAGGCUCUUGGAGAUUCUUGGCAAGCAUUCCUGUUUGAAAAUGUGCAAGUUCUUAUGUUUUCUUCCACAAAAAUUUACACUGCUGUGUUUCUGCUCUCUCAUCUGUGAUUUCUCUGCUCAGGUUUGUUUCUGGUUUUUAAGUUUACAAGUGAGCAAAACAGUGACUUGUAUUCUUUAGAUACCUAGAAGUUACUGGAAGUCUGAAGAAUGAGUUAGGCAAUCUAAUAUUUGAGUACAAGUGUUUUGCAAGUUAAAGAAAAUAAUUUUGUUUCUUUUUCUGUUUUGAAAACAAAUAUA